AACGGGAAAGUCGUGUCUCCCAUUUUCCCCGUAUCACUUGAAUGCAGCACCAGGACAAUAAAUUGUAGGAUAUGUCAUCUUUUUACAACUUAACCCUUCAUCAUCCAAACAGGUCUGCUGGGAGUCCGGUGCGUAACGCGUAAUGGGACGCUUCUGUUUUUUUCUUUGGUGACAUUUUGCGCAAUGACCGACGUCUUUGAAGUUGUCACCGAUUCACUCUGUCUACGUUAUCUUUAAAGUCAGUGAAGUGCUAAUUUUUGUCACUUCCUUGGCAGCCUGCACCAUGAACCGCCAGACAGGAGGGCUCCCUCUGCUGGUGAGGACGAGAACCUGCUGUCAUGGACAAAGGUGAUCUGGAAAGAUGAGCUGCUCCCUACAUAAUAGCUGUGCCGGGAAAAGCCUCAGAUGCCAGAUCCAAAUCUCGACUGAACUGCAGAGCUGUUUCAAUACUGCAAAAGAAUGAAAAAAAAAAAACCUUUAAGACUCUGAGCCACCACCCCUCCCUGCUGCCUGUCGCUGGCUAUUUCUAUGACUCUCAUAUGAAACACUUCUGACGUUAAACACCUGUUAACUUUUAUGUCUUGUGAGAGGAGUGGCUGAAUGGGAGAGCAUUAUGUUCAGCGCUGGUCGGUCUGGCCAAAUCCCCAGUAGAGGAAAGACCACUCCCAGCGCAGAGAGGCAGCAGCAGGAGUGAGUGCGCCCCCCUGAUCCCUGCAGCCUGCGAGGAUCCCCUCAGCUCAAAGCCAACAGUUACCUCUAUUCCACUUGACAGCUGCGUGAAACCACCAUCUUUCCACAGCUCUCUGCUGGAUAAACUGCCCUGCUACCCACCGGCAGACCUGCUUAAGAGGCAAAGUGAGGAGAUGUGAGGAGGUUAGAGGCGGCUUAGGUUGUUGGUGUCUUGUAUCAUAGUUUUUUCUUUCACAUUUAGAUGCCAGUGCAGUGUGUCCUGCCAGAAUCUGAAUAACCUGCACAUCCCAUCAUCAACGGUCCCAAACUGUACUGUAAGACCGUAAAGGCAAGAUUACGUGAAUGGUGUUAUAGUUUAUUUGUUGUAUUAAUGUAGAAGUACUUGCACUUAAUUUGAGUAAUUUCAUUUCAUGCCACUUUAUACUUCGACUCUAUGGCAAUUUGGGGGCAAAUAUUGGUCUUUUUACUCCUCUACAUUUAUCUGACAGCGUUAAUUAUAAGUUACUUUGCAGAUUCUAGUUAUUAACACAAAAUAUAAUCAACUAAUAACUGAUGAUGUAAUACUAAAGAUUAAACUACCAGCAGUAUAUUAAGUAGUUACAACUUUUACCAGCUGCACACACUAAUGCAUCACUAAUUAUAAUCCGAUAAUAAAAUAUAUGUGAUUCUGAAAUGGGCCAUACUGCAUAAUGUAUAACUAACUGUAUAAUAAAAACUGUACUUUUACUUUUGCUACUACUGACGCUACUUAUGUACUUUUACUGAAGUCAAAUUCUGAAUGCAGAACUUUUACAUAUACAUAUACACAUCUACACUGUGGUUUGGCUACUUUUACUUAAAGCUGCAGUAGGCCUUUAAAUGAGAAUACAUUUUUGUCAAAACUGUCACUAUAUCCUGACAGUAGAACAUGAGACAGAUAAUCUAUGAAAGA